CAGAACAAAAAUACAGAAAAGACAGGCC
rnacentral:piRNA from 1 species